rnacentral:rRNA from 1 species
UACGAAGGACCCGAGCGUUAUCCGGAUUUAUUGGGUUUAAAGGGUGCGUAGGUGGACUUAUAAGUCAGUGGUGAAAGCCUGUUGCUUAACAACAGAACUGCCAUUGAUACUGUAGGUCUUGAGUACAGUUGAGGUGGGCGGAAUGUGUCAAGUAGCGGUGAAAUGCUUAGAUAUGACACAGAACACCAAUUGCGAAGGCAGCUCGCUAAGCUGUAACUGACACUGAGGCACGAAAGCGUGGGUAGCAAACAGGAUUAGAUACCCUGGUAGUCCACGCCCUAAACCAUGAUUACUCGCUGUUGGCGAUAUACUGUCAGCGGCUAAGCGAAAGCGUUAAGUAAUCCACCUGGGGAGUACGACCGCAAGGUUGAA